rnacentral:tRNA from 2 species
GCAGAUAUAGUAUAGCGGUUAUUACUUCAGUUUCCCAAACUGAGGAGGCGGGUUCGACCCCCGUUAUCUGCUCCA